UUCCGUCUACAGCGAGGUCUGGAGUUCUUACCUUGUACAUUUCAAUCAGUAGGAACUUCAUACCAAGCUCGUGACGGAA